UACGGAGGAUCCGAGCGUUAUCCGGAUUUAUUGGGUUUAAAGGGAGCGUAGGCGGAUUGUUAAGUCAGUUGUGAAAGUUUGCGGCUCAACCGUAAAAUUGCAGUUGAUACUGGCAGUCUUGAGUGCAGUAGAGGUGGGCGGAAUUCGUGGUGUAGCGGUGAAAUGCUUAGAUAUCACGAAGAACUCCGAUUGCGAAGGCAGCUCACUGGACUGUUGACUGACACUGAGGCUCGAAAGUGUGGGUAUCA
rnacentral:rRNA from 1 species